rnacentral:lncRNA from 1 species
AGUUUUUGACUGAACAGAAGAUUACUUAUAUUGAAAUUACACAGACUAAGAACUAAGAUUACUUUGUUGCAACUCUUGAGCUCUCUGUCACAUUAUGCUAGGUGUAAUGUGACAUCACAAUACCAGGGAAGAAUACAGUGAGGAUACCACUCAAAUCUAGCAGCUACAAAGAUCAGAUAAAUAGGGUGAGUUCUUAGAUUCAAACUAUCACUGGUAGUGUAAGUUUCUACUACAUAGACAUCUACUGAACCAAUGGUGAAUAAUAGGUUAUUGUAGGGAAAAUCAUUUGGAUAACAGUAUCUUGUUCAGAUGGCAAAUGUGAAAAUAUUAUGUUCUUGGCCUCUUCUCGAAUAGCGGGUUCACCACCUUGCCCUGCAACCACAUAGCAAAGCAACCCAGUCAGAUCACACGCGCCAGGACUGGGAGAUUCCAAGCAGGUGUUAUUUCUUCCAUUUAUUAAUUACACAUGCAACACUUAUAAUACCAAUAUAGUCAAUUCCCACGAGCUAAUUGAUUAAUAUAACAUUGUCAUAGAUCUAGCAUGAAAGAGUCAAAACUUGUCUCACAUAUCACGAGUACACUUAUAGCAAGCGUAAAUGCAAAAGGCAAUCUUCCGAUGUGGCAUAACUUGUACAAGUAGAAAGCAGGUUCAAUAGAGCUCAUGCAGUCCUAUGUGACGACCAUCCAGAAUGGAUGUGUAGAGCAAUUUUGGUGUAUAACAAACAAAGCGCAAGCUCAAUAGGCGCUGAUCCCCGACGGCGAGG